rnacentral:rRNA from 1 species
UACAGAGGUCUCAAGCGUUGUUCGGAUUCAUUGGGCGUAAAGGGUGUGUAGGUGGCGCCGUAAGUCGGGUGUGAAAUUUCGGAGCUUAACUCCGAAACUGCAUUUGAUACUGCGGUGCUUGAGGACUGGAGAGGAGACUGGAAUUCACGGUGUAGCAGUGAAAUGCGUAGAUAUCGUGAGGAAGACCAGUGGCGAAGGCGGGUCUCUGGACAGUUCCUGACACUGAGGCACGAAGGCCAGGGGAGCAAACGGG